rnacentral:rRNA from 1 species
GAUGAACGCUGGCGGCGUGCCUAACACAUGCAAGUCGAGCGGACGGACGGAGCUUUUUCUCCGCUUCAGCUGCGGGCGGGCGGGUGAUUCACACGAGUAUGCCCUGCCUUUGAGAAUGACAUAACUAAGCGAGACCGGAUCUCAUACACGAUCAGAUAGUGAACGGGGGGGUUCAUUGGUCAUAAACGGUUUUGCUGUGACUAAUAGGUGUUUCCAAGCUGGAUUAGCUAGGUGGUAAGGUAGAGGCUUACCAAGGCUACGAUGCGUAGCCGAUCUGAGAGGGUGAUCGGCCACACUGGAACUGAGACACGGUCCAGACUCCUACGGGAGGACGCAGUGGGGAAUCUUACGCAAUGGGCGAAAGCCUGAUGCAGCAACGCCGCGUGAGUGAUGAAGGUCCUCGGAUCGUAAAGCUCUGUUAUUAGGGAAGAACGAAUGUGUGAUUAACUAUGGCCGUCUUGACGGUACCUAAUGAGUAAGCACCGGCUAACUACGUG